GACCUUUCCCCUUAUAACUGAAAAUUUCGAUCUAGACAAAAAUUUCAUCACAGCUUGAAAGAGCAUCACAAAAUUAGUAAUAUUCCAAAGUUUUGUUGCAAAAUCUUGUAAAAUGCGGAUAACAUAGCCUUGCGAAGUUUGCCGUUUUUCAGUCAUUUUGUAUUACAAACGGGAAAUUGACAUCCGAGUCGGGUGUUGGGGCUGCAAUUUCCCGUUUGUAAUGCAAAAUGACUGAAAAUUGCAAACUUCGCAAGGCUCUAUUUUCCUCAGUUUACA